GGGGCAUCCUCCAUUUUCUGGGAUAAUGUUUGUGACUGUCAUGGCCUGUCCUGCCCAGGGAAGGCUGGAGCUUCUCCCCUUGAGUCUCCCUUAUUCUGUAAACCCCGCAAGGAGUUCCUACAGCCCCACAAAGUUUUAUUUUACUGACAGGAAAUCAGGGGGUGAGAAAAGGGAGCUGUGGGCAGAGCUGAGCUCGGGACAUCCCUCAGAGCCCGACCCCUCAGUGCUGCAGCCCCCAGGAUGGUGCCACUCUCAGUGUCCCCCAGUGCCACCAACACGCCCUGGCCAGGGCACCAUGGAGGAACCUCAGCCCUUCUUGGACCCCUCAAACCCAGGAUUUGGGAAUGCUGCAGGAAUUCUCGGGCUGGAAUCACCUCAGGGAUUCACCCAGGACAAAUCUCCUUCCUCCACCUGGUCCCUGUUGCUCCGUGGGCUGGUGCUGGAGCUGAUGGAGCUGUUGGAGGGUGGAAUUUUUUGGGAUCMUGUUCCAUUUUUCCUUUUCCUUGCCCCCAUCAGCCUGCCCUGAGCUGUGCUUUGCCCCGACAUAAAGAAUUGUCUAUAUUUGUGCUUUUUGUAGGAACUUAGCCAUUGGGAUUGGGAUCCAGAACUUYCCAGAAGGGCUGGCUGUCAGCCUCCCCCUGCGCGGCGCGGGUUUCUCCACSUGGAAAGCGUUCUGGUACGGGCAGCUGAGCGGGAUGGUGGAGCCUCUGGCCGGUCUGUGGGGUGCCUUUGCCGUGGUGCUGGCGGAGCCGCUGCUGCCCUACGCGCUGGGCUUUGCUGCUGGAGCCAUGGUGUACGUGGUGAUGGACGACAUCAUCCCCGAGGCACAGACCAGUGGCAACGGGAAGUUGGCAUCGUGGACCUCCAUCCUGGGCUUUGUGGUGAUGAUGUCCCUGGAUGUGGGGCUGGGAUAGGAGCCCUCGGAUCAGGAUCGGGAUCUGCUCCAGGACUGCAUUUGUACAUAGGUUUUUUUUGGGAUCUGGUUUGGUGUUGAUUUCCUCUGAUUUUGUACUUCCCCUGGCGAUGGUUUCCAAGCACAACCGGGGCUGGGUCCUCCCCGAUCCGGGGUUGGUUUUUCUCUUGGAUUCUCCAAGGAAAGGUUUUUGGGAUUCUGUCGGAGCUCAGGAAUUCCCGAUCCAGAGUUGGUUUUUCUCUUGGAUUCUCCAAGGAAAGCUUUUUGGGAUUCUGUCAGAGCUCAGGAAUUCCCAAUCCGGGGUUGGUUUUUCUCUUGGAUUCUCCAAUGAAAGGUUUUUGGGAUUCUGUCAGAACUCAGAAAUUCCCGAUCCGGGGUUGGUUUUUCUCUUUGAGGGGACGUUGGAUUCUCCAAGAAAACGUUUUUGGGAUUCUGUCAGAGCUCAGGAAUUCCCAAUCCGGGGUUGGUUUUUCUCUUGGAGGGGACGUUGGAUUCUCCAAGGAAAGGUUUUGGGAUUCUGUCAGACCUCAGGAAUUCCCAAUCCGGGGUUGGUUUUUCUCUUGGAUUCUCCAAGGAAAGGUUUUUGGGAUUCUGUCAGAGCUCAGGAAUUCCCUGCCCCUGUGGAGGCUCCUCUGGGGUUAAGAACCGAGGAUUGGAACGGAAUAAACUCCUGGUAGAGUCUGGAAUUCCAGCCUUUUUUGGGGCUGUGAUGAGCUGUGGGAUCCCAGCUCUCCCACCUCCUGCUGCUCCUCGGGAAUGCUGCAGGGAGUUGGUUCUGAUGGGUGCAAACAGUCCAAGCCAAUAAAGAUGAAUUUUCUUGGCAUCUCUGCAAGAGGGAAAUGUCUUUUUUUUCCCUGAUUUUAUCUCAGAGGGCCACUGCUCCAAUAUUCCUGGGGUUUUCUAUAAAAAAACAAAAAAAAGCCAGGAAAGGAGGAUUGGGGUGUUUUCUAGGACACGGUGUCGGUGCUGUGCAUGGGAUGCAAUUCCAUGAAUUCCAGCUGCUGCUUCCAGUGAUCCACAGCUCCCUGAAGAGCCAUUCUGGGUUUGUCCUGGUCACACUUCACCUGGGAAAGAGCGGGAGCCGAGCCACAAUUCCGGAGAAUUCCCAGGAAUUCCGGGAGCUCUCGUCAUAAUGAAUGGAUUCCUCGGGAUGAAUGGAUUCUUCGGGAUGAGUUAAUUUUUUCUGGAAUGCCAGAAAAGCACGUGGAGGUUCCUGRUCCUUCCCCUGGUGCUUUCCAAGCGUUCCUGGUGGGAUGGAUCCUCCUGAGCACCGAGGAUUGACUGAACCCUCCAGGCAGGAGGGAAUGGCUGAAUUUGGAAAAUCUCCAGCACAAAGGGCUUCCCUGAACCCUCCAGAGGGAAUAACUGCAUCACCUGCUGCUCAAUCCCUCUGGAAAUGGGGCUGGAACAUCCCAAAUCCCCCUUCCAAAGGGAACAGGUUGGAAUAAACCAAACUGGAGCUGUCCCUUUUUGUUGGGUCCUUGUUUUGGUUUUUUUUGGAUGGAUUUCCUCUGUCUGUCCCUCUGGAUGAUCCGAAGCUCCUGUUUGCCAAUGGAUUUGACCUUUUAACUGUGAUUGCUUUCAAUAAAUGGGAAAUGGAGUU